rfam:Dipodomys ordii contig_61353, whole genome shotgun sequence.
GGGAAUGUGGCUUAGUGGUAGAGUGCUUGUCUAGCAUGCAUGAAGCCCUGGGUUCCAAUCCUCAGUACCA